GCAACAGCUACAAGGAUCUUGGAGCACCCCAAACCCGAAAGAUUCGGGUCCUUUUCCGGGUUAAACAUCGGGUCAUCCAGCCCCCUCCCUAACGGAUUCGCCAAAUUCCAAAACUGAUCCGUAAACGCUUUCAACUGCUUAUGUUUCCCAAGUUCGGAUCCAAUCGGGUUGACUCCUCCAAAAUACGGGUGAAGCAGAAUAACACCCUCCAGGUUUAAUCCAGCUAUCGGGUAAGACCCGAACCGGAUUGCCAUAUUGUGGGCGAUAUUCGCCCCCGCACUAUCUCCUGCGAAAAACACCUUACGGAGAUCAGCAAAUUUAUUCAACCACGGGUCAGGACCAUGUCCUGUACCAUGGGAAGCGACCCACUGGAUCACUUCCCAAGAGUCGGUGUACCCGAUUGGAAGUGGAUACUCUGGGCCCAGCCUGUAGUCAACAGAAACCGUGAUAACGUUUGACUUCGCCGUCAGAUGGUUGAGUGUAGGGUGGUGGAUUCGACUACGAAACCACCCCCGUGAAAGUAAAUUAUAACGGGCAGUUUCCGGUUUGGGGUGGCGGUUUUGGGAAUGUAAAUUCUUGCGGAGAGGUUUGUUUCGGGUGAGAUAACGACGUCGUUUGAUUGGACUCCGGUUGAAGAAUCGAUUCCGGCUGGCAACUUGGUGUUUCCAACUAAUCUUUCACAGUGGCCAUCUUUGUGCACUCUUAUGAAACCAAUGAUUUCGUGAAGAUAUUCAUCGGAUGUUGAUAUCUCUCCCGACCCGAACACAGAAGACAUUUUUCUUAGAUGUUGAUAUCCAUCCCCUCAAUCUCUCUAUACAUAAGUAGUGGUGAAGCUUGAAAAUUUCCACCGGGGAUCGGAAGUAACCGAAUCUAAAAAUUCUAUAUAAGUAAUUUUUU
rnacentral:lncRNA from 1 species